GCUUCCGUAGCUCCGUUGGUUAAGAGCGAUUGGACCUGUAUUCCAAAAGGUUGCAAGUUCGAGUCUUGCCGGAAGCG